rnacentral:rRNA from 1 species
AGACCCGAAACCCGGUGAUCUAGCCAUGGGCAGGUUGAAGGUUGGGUAACACUAACUGGAGGACCGAACCGACUAAUGUUGAAAAAUUAGCGGAUGACCUGUGGCUGGGGGUGAAAGGCCAAUCAAACCGGGAGAUAGCUGGUUCUCCCCGAAAGCUAUUUAGGUAGCGCCUCGUGAAUUCAUCUCCGGGGGUAGAGCACUGUUUCGGCUAGGGGGCCAUCCCGGCUUACCAACCCGAUGCAAACUGCGAAUACCGGAGAAUGUUAUCACGGGAGACACACGGCGGGUGCUAACGUCCGUCGUGAAGAGGGAAACAACCCAGACCGCCAGCUAAGGUCCCAAAGUCAUGGUUAAGUGGGAAACGAUGUGGGAAGGCCCAGACAGCCAGGAUGUUGGCUUAGAAGCAGCCAUCAUUUAAAGAAAGCGUAAUAGCUCACUGGUCGAGUCGGCCUGCGCGGAAGAUGUAACGGGGCUAAACCAUGCACCGAAGCUGCGGCAGCGACACUAUGUGUUGUUGGGUAGGGGAGCGUUCUGUAAGCCUGUGAAGGUGUGUCGUGAGGCAUGCUGGAGGUAUCAGAAGUGCGAAUGCUGACAUAAGUAACGAUAAAGCGGGUGAAAAGCCC